rnacentral:rRNA from 1 species
AGUGAACGCUGGCGGUAGACCUAACACAUGCAAGUCGAACGGCAGCACAGUAAGAGCUUGCUCUUACGGGUGGCGAGUGGCGGACGGGUGAGGAAUACAUCGGAAUCUACUUUUUCGUGGGGGAUAACGUAGGGAAACUUACGCUAAUACCGCAUACGACCUACGGGUGAAAGCAGGGGAUCUUCGGACCUUGCGCGAUUGAAUGAGCCGAUGUCGGAUUGCUAGUUGGCGGGGUAAAGGCCCACUAAGGCGACGAUCCGUAGCUGGUCUGAGAGGAUGAUCAGCCACACUGGAACUGAGACACGGUCCAGACUCCUACGGGAGGCAGCAGUGGGGAAUAUUGGACAAUGGGCGCAAGCCUGAUCCAGCCAUACCGCGUGGGUGAAGAAGGCCUUCGGGUUGUAAAGCCCUUUUGUUGGGAAAGAAAAGCAGCAGGUUAAUACCCCGCUGUUCUGACGGUACCCAAAGAAUAAGCACCGGCUAACUUCGUG